rnacentral:lncRNA from 1 species
GAGUAUUUUAAUGGCAAAUGAUGAGAAUGGGAUUAGUAUAUUAGGAAGAAACAAAGGAAGACAAGAGGAAAUGGGUUUUUAUAAUGGUAAGUGGAAGAGAGCAAAUGAAAGAGAUUAAACAAUGAAAUCCUCUCUGCAGAUCACAUGGAGAUGUUUGUGCUAGAGGAAAUAGAUGAAGAGAGAUUAGGAAAGUUUAUGUGGAGAAGACGAAGGGAUGAAGAUGGAAGAAAAGGAUUAGAAGAUGUUUAGAUAGAAGAGGACAAGGAAAGAGAGAAGAGGAGAAGAGAAAGAUGG